rnacentral:rRNA from 1 species
GCUCAACCGAAGAAGUGCAUCGGAAACUGGGAAACUUGAGUGUAGAAGAGGACAGUGGAACUCCAUGUGUAGCGGUGAAAUGCGUAGAUAUAUGGAAGAACACCAGUGGCGAAGGCGGCUGUCUGGUCUGUAACUGACGCUGAGGCUCGAAAGUAUGGGUAGCAAACAGGAUUAGAUACCCUGGUAGUCCAUACCGUAAACGAUGAAUGCUAAGUGUUGGAGGGUUUCCGCCCUUCAGUGCUGCAGCUAACGCAUUAAGCAUUCCGCCUGGGGAGUACGGCCGCAAGGCUGAAACUCAAAGGAAUUGACGGGGGCCCGCACAAGCGGUGGAGCAUGUGGUUUAAUUCGAAGCUACGCGAAGAACCUUACCAGGUCUUGACAUACUAUGCAAAUCUAAGAGAUUAGACGUUCCCUUCGGGGACAUGGAUACAGGUGGUGCAUGGUUGUCGUCAGCUCGUGUCGUGAGAUGUUGGGUUAAGUCCCGCAACGAGCGCAACCCUUAUUAUCAGUUGCCAGCAUUAAGUUGGGCACUCUGGUGAGACUGCCGGUGACAAACCGGAGGAAGGUGGGGAUGACGUCAAAUCAUCAUGCCCCUUAUGACCUGGGGCUACACACGUGCUACAAUGGAUGGUACAACG